rnacentral:rRNA from 1 species
UACGGAGGGUGCGAGCGUUGUCCGGAAUCAUUGGGCGUAGAGGGCGCGUAGGUGGCCCGGUCAGUUCGUGGUGAAAGCGCGGGGCUCAACCCUGCGUCGGCCAUGAAUACUGCCGCGGCUGGAGCACUGUAGAGGCAGGCGGAAUUCCGGGUGUAGCGGUGGAAUGCGUAGAGAUCCGGAAGAACACCGGUGGCGAAGGCGGCCUGCUGGGCAGUUGCUGACACUGAGGCGCGACAGCGUGGGGAGCAAACAGG